rnacentral:lncRNA from 1 species
AUAAUUCUUUACAUAUCUCAAUAAUUUAUUGAUUAAGCCAAAAUGAAGACACAUUCUUUUUACUGAAAUCCAUAUAUAUGACUGUUUUAAACAAUCAAACUAUUAUUGAAACUCAAUUUUGACAUAGUUGGAUGUGUUCUCUUCAAAAAAUGACAUACAUUUUAUCUAUCAAAUUAGGCUGAACUCAAGGAAAUUGGAUACAAAUAUAUUGUGGUAAUGUCUACGGACAAGACAAUUCCAGUUAAAAAAAAAUCUGUUAGAAUUAAUUGUGACUAUAUUUAUCUUGAAAAUACUGAGUUUUAAUUUGAAUAGAUAACUUUCAUCAUCUAUAAAUAAGAUUUAAGUUCCAAAGCAGACAAAUAAUUGAAUUUAAUACUUGUUAUGUACUAGUGUCUUGUCCGUAGACACUUCCUCAUCUACUGGUAAUACUGAAAUGCGAAAAAUAAAGUCAGAUAGGGAGAAAUACUUUUGCUUCAUUUGAUUUAGUUAGUCUUUUAAGGUAUGCAGCAACUGGAAUAAAGAUAUUGAAAUAAAAUAAGGUAUGCUUUUUAUGACUGAUAAUCUGCCACUUUUUAAAAUCCACUCCUGUAAAUUAAUUUUACAAAAAAUAAGAACACUUAGAUUGCCAUUAAUUACUUAAAAAUAAGAUAUUUCUAAGUUUAAACAACACAUAGGCCUA